CGACACCUUCAACUGGUGGCACCAUCAUAUCCUGAUGACUCUCUGCACACAGUAAGAAACAAUGCAAAAGGAACAGCAUAAAAGUUCAGCAGGCAACUCGAAACACAAGAAUCCUAACAUGUAACUCUCAGUCACAAUGAUCCAAUUUGAGUUAAUUACAAACCCACAAUAAGAAUUAAAAUACAAAGUUUUUAACAAGAGAUAACUCAACCACUCCAUGUUCUCUAAGCUAUGUUUGAAAGUGAAAAUGCUAGUAAACUUACAGAAAUUGAAUGAAACUUUUGUCAAAAAUCAAAAUUUAGAAAUCCCUCCCACUCGAUUUUUCUAAAAAAGUAGGACGGCAAAACAUCCUCCUUUAUAAAAGCAUAUGCGGGAAGCUAAAGGGGAAAUUAUCUUAACUUAUUGUUUGCUUUCCUUUUCCUUCCACUCAAUAAUCAUGAAGACCUAAAAACAAAUAAAAUUCUCAACCAAACUACUAGUAAAGAUCACUACAAUUCAACAAAAACAAGCACAAAACCAAAUAUGCAAUGACGCAUUAGCAUAAACAGCCCAGUACGAAACCCUAACAAUUCAUCAGAGAUGAAAAGACCUGGUUGAAACCAGAAUAAUCAAUCAGUACGAGUGUCACUAAACCGCCAUGAAAGAAAAAUCGAGAAACAAAAUAGAGCGGAAAAAAUGAUAAAAACGAUGAAAUCAAAGAGGAUGAAGAAAACUAACCGGAGUUCUCCAUUUCGUGUGAUUGAAAACAAUCGCGAGACGGUGUGUAUUGAGAUUUGUUACUACUUUUAGGUGAUAUGAAUAUGUAAAAAAGGGAGAACACUUGUUAUAAAGGUGAUGAUCGCUGUUGAAUGUACACGAAUGAGUGCUCUCAGCUCAGUGUUCAUUGGCUAUGAUGCUAAAAUGAGAAGUCACAGAAAGUGAUACCGACACUCCAACCGUUUUGCUAUUUGGUUUAUUCUCCCGUCUUUCUUUCUUUCUUUUUCUUUUUUUUUAAACAUUUAUGCUCUGGUUCUGAGUUUUAAAAUAGACACAAAAUAAAAAAAAUAGACAAAAAAUUUAAGUUUUCUUUCUAAUUCUUAGGAAUAAGGUCCAAAAAUACCCCUGACAUUUUCUCCAAUGUCUACCGAGCACCCUAUACUUUUUUUUCUUCCAAAAAUACCUUCAACGUUACAUAUUUCGGGUCAGCCGUGCCCCUGGAUCGAACGGCGUUGCCACAUGGACUAACGUUGCUCAUACGUGACCUUAUUUCGCUGACUUGGACUCAAACAAAGUUUAUAAUUUCCCUUUCUCAGUCCAUAUCCCUUUCUCAAUAGCAGACAUCGCCUCUGUUCAUUUUUCAAAAGGGGCGAAGAUCCCUAAUCGAAGCCCUAGUUGACAUCUCUUGCCGUAGAGAAGAAGGAGAAAUAGGAGAGAAGGAGAGGCAAAACCCUAAUUCUGCCAUUUUAUUCUUUAGUCAUAGAGAGGAGAAGAAAUCACAGUCCUAAUCGUCAUUGUCAUGGCUCACUAUUCGUCGUCAUCUUCAUCCUCUGCUCGAAGACGAACCAUUGAUGUUGAUUAUGAAGCUAUGCCGUUGUGUUAUUGUGGGAUAAGAGCUCCUAUGUGGACCUCAUGGAGCGAAACAAAUCUUGGAAGGAGGUUUUUAUCAUGCUCAAAAUUCAGAGUAAGUUUUGUGUUUUAGUUUAAUUUAGUUCUAUAAUCCUACAAAUUUACCUACAACAAUUUCUUAAAAUUUUAAUUUUUUGGUUUCAGGAAAGGGGAUGUGGGUUCUUUGUAUGACAUGAUCCACAGAUGUGUGAUAGGGCAAAGGUUGUCAUAAAUGAUUUGAAGAGGGAGAACAAGAUUUUACUGAAUAAGGAACUGAAUAAAUUUCCUCAAGUUGAAGGGGCAUCUGAAUUGAAAGAAUUGGUUCAGGAGCUAAAGAAUUUGAAGUCAAAUGGACAUGAAUCUGCUGUGAAUCAAAUUGGUGGCUUAGUAGAUUAUUUGAAGGCUAAGUGCAUUGCUAUGUUAUUUGUAGUUAUAAUUAUCUGCAUUUCUUUUAUGCUACUAAAUUAGGUAGAAAAAUGGUGUUAGAUGAAUGGGUAGUGUGGAGAAUUGUAAUGUAAUGCAGUUUGAAAUUCGGUGUGUAUUGAGAUUUGUUACUACUUUUAGGUGAUAUGAAUAUGUAAAAAAGGGAGAACACUUGUUAUAAAGGUGAUGAUCGCUGUUGAAUGUACACGAAUCAGUGCUCUCAGCUCAGUGUUCAUUGGCUAUGAUGCUAAAAUGAGAAGUCACAGAAAGUGAUACCGACACUCCAACCGUUUUGCUAUUUGGUUUAUUCUCCCG
rnacentral:lncRNA from 1 species